GAUGAACGCUGGCGGCGUGCCUAAUACAUGCAAGUCGAGCGAACAGACGCGGAGCUUGCUCCUCUGACGUUUGCGGCGCGAGGGUGUGUAACACGUGGAUAACCCCCCUCUCAUACUGGGAUAACUUCGGGAAAAAGGAGCUCUUAUAGGAUAAUAUAUUGAAUCGCAUGGUUCAAUAGUGAAAGACGGUGUUAUUGUAACACAUUGAUGGAUCCGCGCCGCAUUAGCUAGUUGGUAAGGUAACGGCUUACCAAGGCAACGAUGCGUAGCCGACCUGAGAGGGUGAUCGGCCACACUGGAACUGAGACACGGUCCAGACUCCUACGGGAGGCAGCAGUAGGGAAUCUUCCGCAAUGGGCGAAAGCCUGACGGAGCAACGCCGCGUGAGUGAUGAAGGUCUUCGGAUCGUAAAACUCUGUUAUUAGGGAAGAACAAAUGUGUAAGUAACUAUGCACGUCUUGACGGUACCUAAUCAGAAAGCCACGGCUAACUACGUG
rnacentral:rRNA from 1 species